AGCCAACUAGCUAGCCCCAUCAUUACCGAGACCGAAAACAACCAUCUAUAUUAAUAACCCCAAAUUCACGAAUGCCCCCACUUAACAAACCAUUUUACCCCUCUAGUAUGGGCGACAGAAAG
rnacentral:rRNA from 1 species